rnacentral:rRNA from 1 species
UACGUAGGGUGCAAGCGUUAAUCGGAAUUACUGGGCGUAAAGCGUGCGCAGGCGGUUAUAUAAGACAGAUGUGAAAUCCCCGGGCUCAACCUGGGAACUGCAUUUGUGACUGUAUAGCUAGAGUACGGCAGAGGGGGAUGGAAUUCCGCGUGUAGCAGUGAAAUGCGUAGAUAUGCGGAGGAACACCGAUGGCGAAGGCAAUCCCCUGGGCCUGUACUGACGCGCAUGCACGAACGCGGGGGGAGCAAACAGGAGGAGAUAACCGGGGAGUCC